UACAGAGGGGGCAAGCGUUGUUCGGAAUUACUGGGCGUAAAGGGCGCGUAGGCGGCCUUCUAAGUCGAACGUGAAAUCCCCGGGCUCAACCCGGGAACUGCGUCCGAUACUGGAAGGCUUGAAUCCGGGAGAGGGAUGUGGAAUUCCAGGUGUAGCGGUGAAAUGCGUAGAUAUCUGAGGAACACCGGUGGCGAAGGCGACAUCCUGGACCGACAUUGACGCUGAGGAGCGAAAGCUAGGGGAGCAAACGGGAUUAGAAACCC
rnacentral:rRNA from 1 species